AAGAUAUAAAUAAAAGUGUCAGACUUUCCGGAACAGUUUCAAAAUUUAAGUUGAAAAAGUACAUUUUUUGUGAAAAAGUUGUCAUUUUAAAUCCCCCCCUGUGGGCAGGUAAAGGGUCAGAUAUAAAAAAAAUAUAUACCAAAUGAUAGGUAAAGACAUCAUGCAUCUAUAAAAAAAAAAUUAUAUUGAUCCAUACAUCUUUCAAAAAGUUAUAGCAUUAUAAAGUUAAAAAUAUAAAAAAGAAUUUUUUUACAAAAAUCGUAUUUUUUUUUAUAAACUUUGAUGUCUGUUUUCACCAUGAAGAUAAAAUAAAGUCCGGAUUUUUUUUUUACCAUAAUAAAGUAUAUUACAUUAGCUUUAAUUUAAAAUAUAUAUAAAAGUGUCAGACCUUCCGGAACACUUUCAAAAUUUAAGUUGAAAAAGUUCUUUUUUUUACGUGCAUUUUUUAGAUUUGAACCCCCCUCGUAUAUAGGGAAAUGGUCCGAUUUAAAAAAACAGUAUGUCAAAUGAAAGAUGUAUAUGAAUACUACUCCUCAUAAAAAAAUUGUACUGAUCCAUACAUUUUUCAAAAAGUUAUAGCAUAAUAAAGUUAAAAAUGUAAAAUACAAAAUCGAAAAUUUUCACACAAAAAUAGCAUUCGGUAGCCAUUUUCACCGUGAAGAUAAAAUAAAGUCCGAAAUUUUUUUUUUGCAUAAUAAAGAACAUUACAUUAGCUUUAAUUUAAGAUAUAUAUAAAAGUGUCAGACCUUCCGGAACAUUUUCAAAAGUUAAGUUGAAAAAGUUAAUUUUUUGUGAAAAAGUUGUCAUUUUAAAUCCCCCCUUGUGGGCAGGUUAAGGGUUAAAUUUAUGAAAAAAAUAUACCAAAUGAAAGGUAAUGAUAUUAUGCAUCUAUAUAUAAAAGAAUUAUAUUGAUAUGUUCAUUUUUGAAAAAGUUAUAGCACUUUUAAGUAAAAAAAAUUGAAAAAAUUUCGAAAAUUANCGUUUUUUAAAUUUGUCAUUUUUUUGGAGGUUUCCCCCUUUUACGUGGAACGAGGGAAUUUUUUUCAAUUUUUAAGGGUAAUGUCUUCGACUAGAUACGAUUUGUGAUCUUUUGACGUAUCAUUGAAAGAAAUCGGUUCGGUGAGAGCUGAGAAAAAGUGGUAACAGACACAAAAAAAAAAACACAUCUUAGUAAAACCAAUACCUUCUCAGCUUCGCAUCGAAGCUAAAAAAAACACAUCUUAGUAAAACCAAUACCUUCUCAGCUUCG